rnacentral:rRNA from 1 species
GAUCAUGGCUCAGGAUGAACGCUAGCUACAGGCUUAACACAUGCAAGUCGAGGGGCAGCAUGGUCUUAGCUUGCUAAGGCCGAUGGCGACCGGCGCACGGGUGAGUAACACGUAUCCAACCUGCCGUCUACUCUUGGACAGCCUUCUGAGAGGAAGAUUAAUACAAGAUGGCAUCAUGAGUUCGCAUGUUCACAUGAUUAAAGGUAUUCCGGUAGACGAUUGGGGG